UACGGAGGAUGCAAGCGUUAUCCGGAUUUAUUGGGUUUAAAGGGUGCGCAGGUUGUUUGAUAAGUCAGUGGUGAAAGUCUGUCGCUUAACGGUAGGAUUGCCAUUGAUACUGUUAGACUUGAAUAUGGAUGAGGUAGGCGGAAUGUGUAGUGUAGCGGUGAAAUGCUUAGAGAUCACACAGAAUAUCGAUUGCGAAGGCAGCUCACAAAGCCAAGAUUGACGCUGAGGCACGAAAGUGUGGGGAUCAAA
rnacentral:rRNA from 1 species